rnacentral:lncRNA from 1 species
UUUGAAUCUUUAAUCGAAAUCCUUAUUUCGAUUUUUCUUGAUCGAUCAUCCUUGACAUCACUAAUGGAACUCAUUAGCUUUAAAUUUUUACACUUCUUUAUACAAUUAACGUCGGCAAAACCGUGGCACAGGCUAAUACAAAAAAAAAAGGAUAAGACUGGAAAAAUAAAGAUUAAGAAGACAAAUCAGAAAAGAAAGAGUAUUGAAUAAUAAUAAAUCUCUCCCUUAUAUAAACACCAAGAGCGUGGAAGCCAAAGAGCAAUUUUCUCCUUACAACACCAAAAAGCAAAAAAAU